CAAGGAAAUUGGCUUCAUCAAGUACCGUUAAAAAUCUUGAAUAUGAGUUUCUACGAGAACCUCUACAUUUGGUGCUGGUAGAAGACAUAUGGCAUUAGAGCUUUUUGAUUUGCAUCUCCCUUCAGUUAAAUGAUGUAAUGGGAUAAUUUUGAUUUAUGUUUUAACUUUUGGAAGUAACUGCUAUGUGAACCUAAGAAAGACUAGCUUUUAAGAUUUUAUAUUUUGUUCUAUACAUUCCUAAUUUUUAGAUUUUCAAGUUCAACUUAA
rnacentral:misc_RNA from 1 species